rnacentral:rRNA from 1 species
UACGUAGGGUGCGAGCGUUGUCCGGAAUUAUUGGGCGUAAAGAGCUCGUAGGCGGUUUGUCACGUCUGCUGUGAAAUCCCGAGGCUCAACCUCGGGCCUGCAGUGGGUACGGGCAGACUGGAGUGCGGUAGGGGAGAAUGGAAUUCCUGGUGUAGCGGUGGAAUGCGCAGAUAUCAGGAGGAACACCCGUGGCGAAGGCGGCUCUCUGGGACGUGACUGACGCUGAGACGCGAAAGCGUGGGGAGCGAACAGG